rnacentral:rRNA from 1 species
GAUGAACGCUGGCGGCGUGCCUAAUACAUGCAAGUCGAGCGAACAGAUAAGGAGCUUGCUCCUUUGACGUUAGCGGCGGACGGGUGAGUAACACGUGGGUAACCUACCUAUAAGACUGGGAUAACUUCGGGAAACCGGAGCUAAUACCGGAUAACAUUUGGAACCGCAUGGUUCUAAAGUGAAAGAUGGUUUUGCUAUCACUUAUAGAUGGACCCGCGCCGUAUUAGCUAGUUGGUAAGGUAACGGCUUACCAAGGCAACGAUACGUAGCCGACCUGAGAGGGUGAGCGGCCACACUGGAACUGAGACACGGUCCAGACUCCUACGGGAGGCAGCAGUAGGGAAUCUUCCGCAAUGGGCGAAAGCCUGACGGAGCAACGCCGCGUGAGUGAUGAAGGGUUUCGGCUCGUAAAACUCUGUUAUUAGGGAAGAACAAACGUGUAAGUAACUGUGCACGUCUUGACGGUACCUAAUCAGAAAGCCACGGCUAACUACGU